CCUCAUUCUAAAAGUCAUUGUUAUUUGUAAAAGAAGCUGCCAAAUCAUCUGCUAAGCAUAAACUAAAGGAGUUAAAGUAGUAGAGAGGCUGUCUUAAACUACUUAUCCCUUAGUAUCUAAAAUAUUCCUACUUAUGCAUUCUUCUUUCUCUUGAAGUUAUGCAGCAGUAAUGCAAGUGGCAUUUCGAGUAGGAAUGUCCUAUUAUGGGCAUCACAGAAGUGAAGAAAUUCAGUGUAAUGGGAUCAUUCUGGACCUAUUAGGAAAAAUGCUUUGAUUAUUUUUCACCUUUCUUGCUUGUGCCACACAGUAGAAAGAAGUGCAGUAGAGAAUGUGGAAAUGUGACUGAGAUAAUUAAUGUUCUUGGCUACUGUUUUCACCACAGACUGCUAAGUAUGAAUGUCUUUCGUGAAGUAACUACUUUAAUUUUAUUCUUGUUUCCUAUCUGAAAAUCUGGUAGAUUGGCUCCUAAUCUGGAACAGUGAUCUGUAGCUAGCUUUCUUCUUCCCUAUCUACACCUCCCCACACCCCCAUGUGUGGAAGGAAAAUGAGGAAGAAGGUCUUUGAACAUCUCUCUUGAUUUGCCCUAGAUACCAGUAGCUAAGAUUGGCCAGAGGUCUAAUUUUGGAUUGCUCUGUUGAACAGAUUGAGAUUAGCUAUUUAACAUACUGGUGAAUUUUCCUCAAGGAACGUACUCUGCAUCAAGAAACCCCUAACCUGCAUGGCCCAGCUGCCAUGCGAAUGUGCUUAGGUUUGCAAAAAGAUGCUGUUAAUAAUAGUUAACACAGUUGUUGAAAGUGUAAUCACACCAAAGUUCGAAAUUUUAUUUCAGAAGCAGCUUAUUUUCAGGAAGGAAGAUGGGUUGGACCUUCAGCUGUUGCAAGGUGGCACAGUCCCUCAGACAUGAGUCAGAUGACAUUGAUUUACAUCCACUGAGGAUCUAAGCCUUCGAGGGAGGAUGGCAGAAAGUACAGCUGUAGCGGCUGGAAAGGCUAAAUCUCAUGCCAAUGAGGUGAAGGGGACUGUGCUGCACGGACUACAGACCUCAGAGAGAGAAGGUAAUUGAAAAACAAUUGAAAUUGUGUUUUGCUAGUCCCUGGAUGGAACGAAUGGUCUGAUCCCUUGAAGAGAUUUAGAGGUUUUGGAAUUUCUCAGAUUUGUACCUGGUUAGUUGUGCUUUUGUAAACAUUUCAGCAGCUGCAGAUGAACAAAAUGCAAUAACCCACUGACCAUUUCUCUUUUUCCCCGAGAUAUGCCCUUUCUGUCUAGAGCUGCAAAGAAGGUAGUAUCACAGUUACUGCCUUGAAAGCAUGCUCCAUCACUGUGGUCUGCUAUCUUUGCUGAGAAUUAUCUGCAGGAUGCAAGUCGUACUUCUGCUUCCUGUCUCGGAGAAGGUUAAAUGUGAGAUGCAGUGACUGAUGACCUCUAACGUGAAAUCACAUAACCGGCAUCCUUAGGUUUUACAUACUGCUUUACAACACAGUCUGCAAAGCUUAGAGUAAUGCAUUUCCCGAGUCAUAGCUGAUGUUUUUAAUUAGUAACUUUUUCUUUGCAUCCACUUUUUAAAGACUCUCACGGAACACAGCAAUUUAAAUGCAACAGUUCUAGACAUUGCAACCUGUGACUCCAUAAUUUUCAAGACUGACAAGCUUUUCCAUGAACCAUAAGCUGCAUAGGCUGAGGAUUUACCAUAGGGCAGAGGCUUUCCAUGGCCAAUGCUGCGGGCCUUGAUGCCUUCUCAUUGCCCCUAACUCAGAGAGUAUGAGAGUUCACCACAGACUCCUGCCUGUCUGCUUCGGCGUCGUGAAAAGGACACGAGGGAAUGGUCGCAUCCUGACUUGCAGAUCUCCCGCUCCCCCCUACACCUGCAGUGUGGAUUCAGCCAGAGAUAUCAACUUGUCAAGAACGUGUUCAGAGCCUCUUUCCGGGGUGAGGAGGGCUUUGCAAGUAGUUGUGACUGGAUCAUUAGGCUGGUAAAAGAACUGGAGUCUGACUGAGGAUGGAGCCCUGAAAAGCUAUUUUGAAGAGGUCUGGCAUACACGCUUGGCAGCAAAACUCUUCACAGUCCUGGAGAUGCCUAGAUGCCGGGUCAGCGGGGUCCCUUCUGCGCUUCUCAGGUAAGGGACCAAGCAUGGAAGAUUUCCUCAUCUUCCUCGAGGAAUGAAGAACAGAAAAGCUGCAGCAGAACUGUCUCUCUGUUUCUUUCUUCUCUGCGCAUUGAUAAAUUGAAGUGAGGAAUGGGAGAACUUACUCAAUUAAAGCAACAAGAGAGUUUCUCCUUUUCUUCAUGUCUGGUCAACCUGUCAAAACCUAACACCAAGACUCCUGCCUGCCUUGACAGAAGACUGCAUGCCAGGUUACAUUUACCUGGCAUGUUUCCCUGUCAUAUCACAAUUGUUUUUCAAAAUUAAGGAGACAAAACCAAGACUUGAUAGAGCUUGUAACCAGAUUAACAGAGCCAAAUGCCUCUUCCAUUACUCCUCCCACCCUGGCAUGAGAGGUGCACUCCGGUCCUCCUCAAACAGCUGCCUCACUUAAUAGAACAUUUAGAGUCACCUUUCACCAUAAUUAACAAUUAUUACUCCUGUAACCAACAGUUCAGAAUUGCAAGCUUCUCCCAGAGUUGUGAUAUGUAGACAAGCAUUGCUCCCUUCAGAACUUACAAGAUGUAGGGAAACAGGCUCAGCCUCAUACUGAAUAAGAGCAGCACUCAGAAAUGCCAGGGGAAAAGCAGAAUCAGCUUAUCUUAGUGGGUGUUAUGGGAGGUAUUAUUCACAGCAACUUUUUCUUUUCCAAGCGGAAAAAAGAAAUUCAGUAUUCCAAACUGAAAAAAGAAAAAAAAAGUUUCUGAAAAAGUAAAAAAGGGGACCUUUAAUUUUAUGCUGUCAUGUAAAAUAGUUGAUCAUACUUUUGUCUUCACUGUCUGGCCUUCAUUGGCCUUGCUUCUUUUCCCUGCUUGCUUUUUUUUCUUGUGAAAAUAUUUUCACAAUUUAUUUA